rnacentral:hammerhead_ribozyme from 1 species
AUCCAGAUGACGAGUCCUAAAUAGGACGAAAUGAUCAUCGUGUGU